GAGAGAGCCUCUCUAAUGGCAAUUAAUUCGAUCAAUCUCAAUUAGAAAACAGAGAGAAUCCGCUCGAGGAGGGGCUCACGUCUUAUUAGCUAGUUGGUGAGGCAAUAGUUUACCAAGGCGAUGAUCAGUAGCUGGUCCGAAAGGAUGAUUAGCCACAAUGGGACUGAGACACGACCCAAAAUCCUACAAGAGGUAGCACUUGGGAAUUUUCCGCAAUGGGCGAACGCCUGACGGAGCAAUGCCGCGUGAAGAUAGAAAGUCCACGGGUCGUGAACUUCUUUUCCCGGAGAAGAAGCAAUGAUGGUAUCUUGGGAAUAAGCAUCGGUUAACUCUAUGCCAACAGCCGCAUUAUCCGGAAUGA
rfam:Gossypium arboreum cultivar AKA8401 contig_52993_3, whole genome shotgun sequence.